GCAGCUGCCCAAACAUCAGGUCCAGGACCUAGAAUCUCUUGCGAAGAGGUUGGUAUAAGUUCCUCUCAGAUUUGGAGUUGAUCUGAGGUCGUUUAAGGUGCGGGUGAGAUCUCCAUCAACAUAUCUACAGGAAAGGCUGCAGCAGGACAGAUCUGCAAGGUCUGGUUCUAUCUACCUUCUUCCCUAUCUAGAACAUUCCGAUUCAAGAUCUACAAAUUGAAAGACCUCGGUCCAGGCCUAAUCUGGUUGGGUACCAGAUAUUGGAUUAUUUAGAGAUGAUCUUAGAGGCG
rnacentral:lncRNA from 1 species